rnacentral:tRNA from 1 species
GCGAGAAUAGUGUAGUCUGGCCUAUCACUCAGCCUUGCCAAGGCUGGAACCCGGGUUCAAAUCCCGGUUCUCGCA